rnacentral:rRNA from 1 species
UCCCUGUCUUGUAGCAAUACCGGGCAGGGGGAAGUGGCGAAAGGGGCAGUAAGGCGUGGGUAACCUACCCCGGGGAUGGGCAUAGCCGUUCUAACGAGCGGGUAAUUCCCAGCGAUCCGGCGAGGGGGCAUCUCCUUGCCGGGAAAUGAGUUUCGCCUCGGGAGGGACUCACGUGCUAUUAGCUGGUUGGCGGGGUAACGGCCCACCAAGGCUAAGAUGGCUAGCGGGUGUGAGAGCACGACCCGCGCCACUGGCACUGAGACACUGGCCAGACACCUACGGGUGGCUGCAGUCGAGGAUCUUCGUCAAUGGGCGCAAGCCUGAACGAGCGACGCCGCGUGUGCGAUGAAGGCCUUCGGGUUGUAAAGCACUGUCGAGGGGGACCAAGGCCCGCAAGGGCUUGAUCGAUCCCUGGAGGAAGCACGGGCUAAGUUCGUGCCAGCAGCCGCGGUAAGACGAACCGUGCGAACGUUGUUCGGAAUCACUGGGCAUAAAGGGCGCGUAGGCGGCUCGCGAGGUCGGGGGUGAAAUCCCACAGCUUAACUGUGGAAGUGCCUCCGAUACCGGCGGGCUUGAGGGAGGUAGGGGUGCGCGGAACUUCUGGUGGAGCGGUGAAAUGCGUUGAUAUCAGAAGGAACGCCGGCGGCGAAAGCGGCGCACUGGAUCUCUACUGACGCUGAGGCGCGAAAGCCAGGGGAGCAAACGGGAUUAGAUACCCCGGUAGUCCUGGCCCUAAACGAUGGGUACUAGGCCGUGGGCCAGUCAUGGGCUCACAGCCGAAGCUAAUGUGUUAAGUACCCCGCCUGGGGAGUAUGGUCGCAAGGCUGAAACUC